rnacentral:rRNA from 1 species
UAAUAGCUCACUGGUCGAGUCGGCCUGCGCGGAAGAUGUAACGGGGCUAAACCAUGCACCGAAGCUGCGGCAGCGACGCUUAUGCGUUGUUGGGUAGGGGAGCGUUCUGUAAGCCUGCGAAGGUGGCCUGUGAGGGCUGCUGGAGGUAUCAGAAGUGCGAAUGCUGACAUAAGUAACGAUAAAGCGGGUGAAAAGCCCGCUCGCCGGAAGACCA